ACUUUGUGAAUUUCUAGUGACUCUUUUUUGUUUUUUUUGUGUGCAAUGUUUACAUUUUUUAUGUGAUAUUGACAAAAUAAUUCAGCAUUGCAAUUGAAAGUUAAUUUUUAUUACUCACUAAUGGUGUGUCGUAAUGGUACUAAAAACCAUUUUUGAUUUCUCAUUUUCAGUAUAUCUAAAAUUUCUUUUAAGUCAAGUGUUACAUCAAGUGGGUUAAAAAAUUACUUACACUCAUUUAAAUUCACAUUAUACUCUCCUCCAGUUUCCCUUAUUUUAGUUGCAACAAAAGUGAAAUAUUUAGCUGAUUCAUAGGGAGUUCGAAAGGCAGGAUACACCUGAUCAAACUUUGGGCCAAAUAUUUUGAAAAUGUUUCUGCCCUGAGGAUCUUGUGGGAUAUCGUCAACAACAACAACAGCAUUAUUUCUCAUCAAGACAACAUUAUUUGGGAAACUGUUAGUCAAUUUAAAAUUUGGGAAAGUAAUUGAUUUCAUUUCAUCUUCACUCUUAAGGUUAUUGUGUUGUAAGAAUUCCUUCUUUUUUUAAUUUACUUUCUUUUAAUAAGAGUGUACUUUUUUUUAUGCGGUUUAGGAGGUUCUUGUUUUGAAAGCAAGUCAUAAAAGUUAAAAUCUUUUAGCACUCUUUAAAUACGGCGCCAACCCAAAAAAAUUAUUAAAUAAAAUAAAUAAAAAUAGGGAAGAGUAAAAGUUUUGUUUAGUUAACAUUCGAUCUCGUAAAAGAUGGUGAAACUUUGUUGGACCACAAUUUUUGUCGAUUCAAUUUUUCAUAUUUCCCACUUUUUAAUUUGGAUAUCAAAUUCCAUUUUGUUAUUGAUUAUGGAGCCGUCAGACAGAAAAAAAUGUUUGGUUUGGGCAAGCGAAAGAAAAUUCCAAGCUCACAAUUGCAAGAUGCAGCAGCUUUGGUUGUUGUGAAACCGAGAAGAGGUAAACCACAAAAAGUGACAAAUACUACGACUGAGAAUGAAGGAAACAAUCAGCCAUCUUAUUCCAUCGUUCAUCGUAUUGACAGUGGGUCACCUUCUGUCGGCCGGAAUAAUUUUCCGACUGAUAAUGCAGGAAGCAAUUUUCCAAAUGUCCCUUUCGUUCGUCAGCCUGAAACUGUCCUUACUAAUAUUCCGACUGCGAAUGCAGGAAACGAUUCGCCAUUUUUCCCUUUCGUUCAUCCAACCGACUGAUUGUAGCCACCUUCUGCCGCGAAUAACAAUCCAACUGGGAAUGAAGGAAACAAUUUGCCAUUUGUCCCUUUUUUCGUUCGUCUGACAUUGGGCCAACUGUCCUCACUAAUAUUCCGACUGGGAAUGUAGGAAACAAUUUGCCAUGUUUUCCAUCCGUUCAUCCGACUGACAGAUUGUGGCCACCUUAUGCCCGAAUAAUACUCCGACUUAAAAUGUAAUUGCCAAUAUCUGGUCAAAGGCAAACAACAUCCCGAAACAAGACGUCCAGGAUUUCAUUGAUCGCUGCAAGAGAAUCAGAAAACAAGACUCAUACACACACAGAGGCAACACCAAGCAGCAUGUUGUGUCAUCUGAAAGAACCAAUGCGCCUCGUCAAUUGAAAGACGAUAUUCAAGUAUUUCUGGGAAAAAAAAGUGGCUCAUCUUGAAAAGUUGAUAGAAAAGUUUGACAAGUAAUCGUUUAAACCAAGUUAGUAUAAUUAUUAUCGUACUGUUCUAUCGUUUGAACGAUUACUUGUGAUUAUUUUCUAUCAACUUUUCAAGAUAAGAUAUUGAUUGGUUUUUUUUCACAUAGAAAAUUUCGAGUUUUGUUUAUAUUUUGUUUUUGACUGAUGUGUUAUUGAAUUGAAUUGUUUCCAAAUAUGGCAUCACGCAAUGA